rnacentral:tRNA from 1 species
GGUAGUAUGGCUGACUAAGCGGUAAUCUGUAAAAUUAUUCAUAGGGCAUUUGUCCUUACUAUCA